AAGCACAUCAGAGUUUGUCAUUUCAUUCCAUCAUGCUGCUCUGUGCAGUUGUAAUAUUUUCAGUACUUGCAGGAGACUCUCUUGGUGAUCUAAUAACGUCUCGUGAUUCUGAAAAACAAGCUCAAGAUGGUAACAGUGUUACUCUCUCCUGCAACUACACUGGUGCUGUUUAUAAUCUACUGUGGUAUCGUCAGUAUCAAACAUCCAAACCAGAACUCCUUCUGUCCAUGACUGAAUCUGGAGAACCAGUUAAAGAAGAUCCAUCCGCCCACUGGUUAUCUGCUAAAGCUGACAAACACAGAAAGCUCAUGGAACUGGAAAUCAGCGCUGCUAAAGUAUCAGACUCUGCACAGUAUUAUUGUGCCCUGCAGCCCACAGUGACAGGAAACCUUUUUCCUCUGCACAAAAUCUUUCUGUAUAUUAUCAUGCUUUUCACAGUCUUAGCAAGCAUGUGUUUUCUACAGUAUGUAUUAUUUCUGACAGCAUCAGUCAUCAGUAACACAAGCAUCUCUUAAGGAUCAACAACUCAAAUCAACUGU